ensembl:lncRNA
CCCUCUUUAUGGUUAGGUUUUUAAUUCUAGGUUAGGCAAAUGUGGGCAUACUAUUACAGAUAUGGUUUAAAGUUUUGAUAACAAAAGUGUUUGGGGAGAUUCCACAUAAUUAGAUUUUUUAAAUGCCUGCCAUAAAUAAAACUGAAAUGUAGAAUGGCUGACUGUGGCAGUGACCAGUCCUCUUUAUGGACAUGGUUGGAUUUUGGUCUUUAAUGCAUGCUAGUGUUGAUGUUUUUUGGUCAAGAGGAUAUGAACAGAGAGGAUUAUGCAGCAGGCUUUAUUUUAAUGCAGAAUUCACAUUACUCUGUUUAAGCUGCGUUGAAAUGUUAAAAUGGCUUACACUUGUAGACUUUGUAAAUCAGAGUAACAGCAAACUGAAAUCCUUGAGAUCACACAGGUUGGAAAUAUGUACUAAUAAACUGCACAAGGUGUCAUUUCUAUAUAGUGCAGUUUUAGUCUAUUUUAGUUGCAUAGGUUUCCAUUGUAUUUAUAGUCUCUUUUAUGCUAAAUUUGGCCAAAGAUGAUCAUCCACCUCUGAAAAUGCCUCUGCCACUUUGGGAAUUCUGUGCUGGUUUUGUGGCCAGAAUGCACUGAUCUUUACAAUGGCGUUAAGAAGGCAAAAAUUCCUUAAAAGUGCAAUAGAUUUUUAAGCGUAUUGUGCCUUGUUCUAAAACUUUAUUAAGUAGGUGCACUUGACAGUAUUAAGGUCAUUUGUUACGGUGCUAUUUCAAUUAGUAGAGGUUUAGACUUGUACAUUUUGCCCAUAACUUUUUACGAAGUACUUAUUUUAUUGCACAUUCAGAAAAUUUUAUAUAUGUGUCUUGUGUGCGUGUCCUUAAACUUCCAAUCUUAUUUUGUCUCUUGGAGAUUGUUGAACGCAUCUUGUGAAGAACUAGAUUAUAAAAUUUUGUUUGGGACCAUGGAGUGAUAGUUGAGAAGAAACCUAUUUGCACAUGACAGAUUUUAGAUACUUUUUUGCUGCUGUUGAUUUAAUAUUUAUUUAAAUUUGAUGAAUAUUUAUUUUUGUAAGCCUAAAAGUGAUUCUUUGAAAGUUUAAAAAAAACUUGACCAAAAGACAGUACAAAAACACUGGCACUUGAAUGUUGAAUGUCACCGUAUGUGAAAUAAUAUAUUUUGGGGUAGUGUGAGCUUUUAAUGUUAGUCCUAUUAAACUUGAGUCACAUUAAGCAAACCCGGCACUGGCAAUGUAGCUAACUGUAACUUUCUGACAAAAUUUAAGACAAAAUUGGCAACUUGAAAGUAAAACAUGCCAAGGUUUUGAUACACUUGUCUUAAAAUAUUAAUGAAAAAUUUCUAAACACUGAUAUGAAGUGUCCACAUUCUCAGAGGUUCUCAGAUUUGUUUAGUUAUUUGUUUUGCUUUGUUUUCAGUAACUGUCUGGCAUAUUUGCAAUCCUCAAACAUGUGGUUAUUCUUGUGUAUUGCCAUAGUCAGUGACUUACAUUCAGUUUUAGGAUUUAAACUUGCUGAAUGUAGACUUUAAACCUCAAGUCACUGUAUGUUUUAGUAAUUCCUUAUUGUAUUAGUUUUAGUUGCUAGCACUGCAUGUGCUGUGUUUAUUCUGAUUUUACUAAAAUAAAAAGUUGAACACCAUG